AACUACACAUAAGAGGUCCUGCCUGCCCUGUGACCCCUGGUUCAACGGCCGCGGUAUUUCGACCGUGCAAAGGUAGCGCAAUCACUUGUCUCUUAAAUGAGGACCUGUAUGAAUGGCACGACGAGGGCUUAACUGUCUCCUUUCCCCGGUCAGUGAAAUUGAUCUUCCCGUGCAGAAGCGGGAAUCCUAACAUAAGACGAGAAGACCCUAUGGAGCUUUAGACUUCAGAACAGAUCAUGUAAGCUACCCCCGUGAAAUAGGUAAUAACUAUUGAAUUUCUGUUCCCCUGUCUUUGGUUGGGGCGACCACGGGGAAGAAAAAAACCCCCAUGUGGACCAGGAGCACAUUACUCCUACAACCAUGAGCCACAGCUCUAAUGCACAAAAUUUUUGACCAUUAGAUCCGGCAAAGCGGAUCAACGGACCAAGUUACCCUAGGGAUAACAGCGCAAUCCCCUUUAAGAGUCCAUAUCGACAAGGGGGUUUACGACCUCGAUGUUGGAUCAAGACAUCCUAAUGGUGCAGCCGCUAUUAAGGGUUCGUUUGUUCAACGAUUAAAGUCUU
rnacentral:rRNA from 1 species